rnacentral:RNase_P_RNA from 1 species
UACCCCCAGUCAUGAUGCGACCGAGCCCGAAAGGGCGAGACGUGCCGAAAGGCGCAAGAUAACUCGCUGAGCGUUAACGGUGUAGGAAUCGAUGAAACGGUGAAUCCCUGCGGGUGCAAGCCAGAACAGGGUAUUGUGGCUGCUCAGGCACUACCCGGGUAUGGCGCCGAGCUGAAUGCCGCAAAGAACAGAAGGGGGCUUACUCCUCCCACUC